CUGAUUUUGUACGUAACAUGGGGUGUACGUGACCUAUAAACACUCACCUGUGAAAUCUUUUGUACAUCAUAUACACGUUAUUCUUGUACAAAAGAUCGGUUGAUUUGUACGUACAACCGGUUUUGACUUUUUUACAUAGUACCGGUUGACUUUGUAGAUAAGAUCGGUUGACUUGUGUAAUUGAUAGACAUUACGGGGUCUAAAGAAAACGAUUAACUAACACGGUUAUACGAAUUUAUAUAUCUACUUAUUCCAUUUCAGCUAUAAACAUCUGAUACUAUAUUUUAUCCUUUUCCUUUUACUCUCUCUCUCUCUCUCUCUCUCUCUCUCUCUCUGAUACCCUUUAUUUACCUUCUCCGCACAACCGUAAACUUGGAACCUGGAGAGUCAUCAUCCGACUUAUGGUCAACCGGAUACACCACGAAAACUGAUUUAUCGUCUAAAAUCGAGAAAUUCGAAAGGUUUUGCUCUCCUUUCUUUUAGGAUAUACCCGAGUUCCGGGUCAGUCUGAACCGCAUCGGUAACCAGCGAGGAACGCGGCGACAUGCGACGCGGGUUUAGGACAAAGAGAGGACAAUGGGGAGUGGUUUCGGAAGGAGACCAGAAGGGUUGUCUCCAACGACGGCAGCGACGACGACCACCACCAACGGCGGCGGCACUCGGCGCUCCAACGACGAGAGGGGCUGCGUAGAGGAGAGGCACCAGCAACGGCUCGUCCCCACCGACGACCCGCAGCACAGCGAUCGUCACAACCAUGAAGACCAAGUCCUAGGAAAUUGGGUGUUCAACACGGGGCGCCAACUCCAUUUAGGACUCCUGCUGUACGUACCCUCAGAACCCUCAUCGUAGAAGUGGCAAAAGUGAAGUGCCUUGAGUGUGGAUAACAGGAAAUCCUGGCACAAAACUCUUGGAUCAUAUCAACAUGAAAUGAUGGACACCACCAAGUAGAACUUAACCUCUCUAUGGGAGAACCAGACAUACCGAAUCGAUUAAAGGGGAAUUCUGAUUGCGAUAGCGGAUUUCAAUGGCUCCUACAAGAGCCAAUACCAUAACAUCGGAACACGAAAUGUGGCCACGAUCAAGAAACGC
rnacentral:rRNA from 1 species